rnacentral:rRNA from 1 species
CCUACGGGAGGCUGCAGUAGGGAAUAUUGCUCAAUGGGGGAAACCCUGAAGCCGCAACGCCGCGUGGAGGAUGAAGGUUUUCGGAUAGUAAACUCCUUUUUGUAGAGAAGAGAAUGACGGUAUCUAACGAAUAAGCAACGGCUAACACCGUGCCAGCAGCCGCGGUAAUACGGAGUGUGCAAGCGUUACGCGGAAUCACUGGGCGUAAAGAGCGCGUAGGCGGGAUAGCUAGUCAGAUGUGAAAUCCUAUGUCUUAACCAUAGAACUGCCUUUGAAACUGUUAUUCUAGAGUAUGGUAGAGGUAGGUGGAAUGCUUGGUGUAGCUGUCAACUCCGUAGAGAUCAAG